rnacentral:rRNA from 1 species
GGGAGGCAGCAGUGGGGAAUUUUGGACAAUGGGCGCAAGCCUGAUCCAGCAAUGCCGCGUGAGUGAAGAAGGCCUUCGGGUUGUAAAGCUCUUUUGUCAGGGAAGAAACGGUGAGGGCUAAUAUCCCUUGCUAAUGACGGUACCUGAAGAAUAAGCACCGGCUAACUACGUGCCAGCAGCCGCGGUAAUACGUAGGGUGCAAGCGUUAAUCGGAAUUACUGGGCGUAAAGCGUGCGCAGGCGGUUUUGUAAGUUUGUCGUGAAAGCCCCGGGCUCAACCUGGGAAUUGCGAUGAAGACUGCAAGGCUUGAAUCUGGCAGAGGGGGGUAGAAUUCCACGUGUAGCAGUGAAAUGCGUAGAGAUGUGGAGGAACACCGAUGGCGAAGGCAGCCCCCUGGGUCAAGAUUGACGCUCAUGCACGAAAGCGUGGGGAGCAAACAGGAUUAGAUACCCUGGUAGUCCACGCCCUAAACGAUGUCUACUAGUUGUCGGGUUUUAAUUAACUUGGUAACGCAGCUAACGCGUGAAGCAGACCGCCUGGGGAGUACGGUCGCAAGAUUAAAACUCAAAGGAAUUGACGGGGACCCGCACAAGCGGUGGAUGAUGUGGAUUAAUUCGAUGCAACGCGAAAAACCUUACCUACCCUUGACAUGUCAGGAAGUCCGGAGAGAUCUGGAUGUGCUCGAAAGGGAACCUGAACACAGGUGCUGCAUGGCUGUCGUCAGCUCGUGUCGUGAGAUGUUGGGUUAAGUCCCGCAGCGAGCGCAACCCUUGUCAUUAGUUGCUACGAAAGAGCACUCUAAUGAGACUGCCGGUGACAAACCGGAGGAAGGUGGGGAUGACGUCAAGUCCUCAUGGCCCUUAUGGGUAGGGCUUCACACGUCAUACAAUGGUACAUACAGAGGGCCGCCAACCCGCGAGGGGGAGCUAAUCCCAGAAAGUGUAUCGUAGUCCGGAUUGUAGUCUGCAACUCGACUACAUGAAG